rnacentral:rRNA from 1 species
UACAGAGGUCCCAAGCGUUGUUCGGAUUCAUUGGGCGUAAAGGGUGCGUAGGCGGCGCGGUAAGUCGGGUGUGAAAUCUCGGGGCUUAACUCCGAAACUGCAUUCGAUACUGCCGUGCUUGAGGACUGGAGAGGAGACUGGAAUUCCUGGUGUAGCAGUGAAAUGCGUAGAUAUCAGGAGGAAUACCGAUGGCGAAGGCAGGUCUCUGGGCUGACACUGACGCUCAUGCACGAAAGCGUGGGGAGCAAACAGG